CUAAUAUGAUAUAUAUUUUUAUUCUUAUAUUGGUGCAAAACCGUCUCUUAACACGAUUGCUCACGCUAGCUUAGGUAUAAAAUAAAAAUUGAAGUUUAUCAUGCUGGAAAAUGUUGUAAGUUUGUAUUCUGGGACAAAGAAUGCUCACAAUUUUUGGGUGUAUCAGCUAUUCAGAAGCGUGAUACAAUGAUUGAGGAUGGAAUUGAUGAUCCAUUAGAAUUCCCAUUAGCACUAGAUGUUUUUUUGGGUUUGGAGAUUGCUUUUAAAGUUAAGUGGCACCCCCAGUGAAAAAGUUGCUCUAUUGUCAUGAUUGUAAGGGAUGACACGUUCAUCAAACAACUAAAGGCUCCAUGGGAACAAAUACAUGUAUUUCUUCUACAACCUAACAUUAAUGGGUGAAUUUGUUUCGUCAACCUUCUGUUGGUCCUUAUCUGGUUUUGACACUAAGGAUCUGGAAAUUACAUCUAAGCAUAACACAGAACCAAUCACAUCCACUGCAAAGAGUCAAAUACUGGAUGAUUCAAGUGAAUCUACUACCUUGAUCGGCCUGUGUGAUGGAGAACUCUUCCCAACAAAACUUAAGAAGAGUAUCAAAUUGGAGAAGAAGAAUUAUUUGAUUCUAUAUAUUUCGUUCACUAUAUUGGCAUGUAGUAUUUUGCAAACAAUGUCUUUUUAUGUUUUGCAUCUGUAGUAUACUUUAAAUGUGUUUGACUAUGACUAAUUCAGAAGACAUAAUAUAUGUAUUAUACUCAAGUGUGUUUUUUAUUGCAACUCGAUUUCAGCCCU